rnacentral:rRNA from 1 species
GACGAACGCUGGCGGCGUGCUUAACACAUGCAAGUCGAACGGAAAGGCCCUGCUUUUGUGGGGUUCUCGAUUGGCGAACGGGUGAGUAACACGCGAGUAUCCUGCCCUUGACUUUGGGAUAACUUCAGGAAACUGGGGCUAAUACCGGAUAGGAGCUCCUGCUGCACGGUGGGGGUUGGAAAGUUUCGGCGGUUGUGGAUGGACUCGCGGCUUAUCAGCUUGUUGGUGGGGUAGUGGCUUACCAAGGCUUUGACGGGUAGCCGGCCUGAGAGGGUGACCGGCCACAUUGGGACUGAGAUACGGACCAGACUCCUACGGGAGGCAGCAGUGGGGAAUAUUGCACAAUGGGCGGAAGCCUGAUGCAGCAACGCCGCGUGCGGGAUGACGGCCUUCGAGUUGAAAACCGAUUUCGAAUGUGCCGAAGAGUGAGUGACGGUAAUGGGUAAAGAAGCACCGGCUAACUACGUG